UUAAGUGUCAAUGUUUAAAAAUGAUAUAUCAUUGAUUCUACCUAUGUAAAAUAUAGUAAGUUUAUUGUUUUAUUUUAUUUUUUUAAAAAAACUAUCUUGGUAUACGAUUGUAAGUUAAACGGCGAGUGAUGUGUAUGCGGAAAUAGAAUUAACGCCAAUUACAUCAUGAAGUACUGUGGUCGCAACUUUAUAUAAUUCAAGUAUAUUUCGAGAAGGCUGAUUACUGGAGCAUCAAAUGUACAACAGUAUCGAUAUAGCCAUCUACCGGCGACAGUAUCAUCCGUGCAAGCAAUUCAGAUCGAUGGCCUUCCAGAGCGCACCACACGAAUAGAAUUAAAUUAUCUUAUCGCCGCUUAAUUUCACAAUGAUUAUACUUUUAUACACCUGAACUUACAUAAUUGUAUAAUGUUAUUAAUUAUCAAGUAUUAUUUAAAAUGUACUUAUUUUUUUUUUUUUUUUUUUGAUUGAUUUAUUGUAUAAAUUGAAAGUG